UGGAUCGGUGUGCGUUCGAUUAGCUAGUUGGCGGGGGUAACGGCCCACCAAGGCUCCGAUCGAUAGGGGGUGUGAGAGCAUGGCCCCCCACACGGGUACUGAGACACGGACCCGACUCCUACGGGAGGCAGCAGUAAGGAAUAUUGGACAAUGGGCGCAAGCCUGAUCCAGCCAUGCCGCGUGAAGGACGAAGGCGCUCAGCGUUGUAAACUUCUUUUGGAUGGGAACAAUAAUCGAGACUUGUCUUGACUUGAGGGUACCAUCAGAAUAAGCACCGGCUAACUCCGUGCCAGCAGCCGCGGUAAUACGGAGGGUGCAAGCGUUAUCCGGAAUCACUGGGUUUAAAGGUGGCGUAGGCGGUCUAAUAAGUCAGUCGUGAAAUCGCUGGGCUCAACCCAUGCAAUUGCGAUUGAUACUGCUAGACUUGAAUGGGGUUGAGGCUGGCGGAAUGCGACAUGUAGCGGUGAAGUAGCUUAGAUAUGUCGCAGAACACCGAUUGCG
rnacentral:rRNA from 1 species